CCGUCGGCCGGCCCGGCAAGCCUGUCGGUCGGUUCGGCGAGGUCGGCGUCACCGCCGACGUCCUGUGGUUCCGCCGCCACGGUCGGCCGG
rnacentral:tRNA from 1 species